rnacentral:rRNA from 1 species
GAUGAACGCUAGCGGCAGGCCUAACACAUGCAAGUCGAGGGGUAGGGUUACUUCGGUAGUCUGAGACCGGCGCACGGGUGCGUAACGCGUAUGCAAUCUACCUUUUACUAUGGGAUAGCCCAGAGAAAUUUGGAUUAAUACCAUAUAGUAUAUUCGAAUGGCAUCGUUUGAAUAUUAAAGAUUUAUCGGUAAAAGAUGAGCAUGCGUCCCAUUAGUUAGUUGGUGUGGUAACGGCACACCAAGACGAUUAUGGGUAGGGGUCCUGAGAGGGGGAUUCCCCACACUGGUACUGAGACACGGACCAGACUCCUACGGGGGGCAGAAGUGAGGAAUAUUGGUCAAUAGAGGCAACUCUGAACCAGCCAUGCCGCGUGCAGGAUGACGGUCCUAUGGAUUGUAAACUGCUUUUGUACGGGAAGAAAACAAGCUACGCGUAGCUAAUUGACGGUACCGUAAGAAUAAGGAUCGGCUAACUCCGUGCCAGCAGCCGCAGUAACAC